GAGCAUGAGAGGAUGGGCAGCCCUGAAGCAGGCAAAGGAAAAGUGGCACGGCAGGAAGCAAGUCAGAUGAGGGGGCCUGGUUUGUGCGAGAACAUGACAAACCAGUGUUCCUGAAGCCUAAAGGGAAGGUGAGACAAGGCAGAGGAGGCUGGCGGGGCCAGGUCACGGAGUCUCCUGUGCCACACUGAGAGUCUGGGCUUGAGCUUGUGGAGAGCCCAAGGAUGAAAACAGAGAAGUAAUUAAUGGCAGCUUUCCUGGGCCAGAAGAAUAAAUAAGGAAUUAUCUUACAAACAGCAAAUAAACCACAGCAACCAUGAAAUUAGAAGUUUGGUAAAACAUGUUGCAGAAGAACCAGGAAACACAUUGCAAUUGAGCCUGCUGGGUGCUGCUGCAAGUUUGGGGGUGAACAGGAGAAUCAGGUUCUUAUAGGGGUGAAGUCUGCAAAGUAGGAUGUUUUCCUAAUUUGAAUGCAAUGACUGAAGUGGAAAAUGGUCAAAACUGGGCAGAGUGGCUCACACCUACAAUCCCCUAGGAGGGAAGGACAAAGGCAUCCAUAUCACCUCGCCACAGUGGUUGUGGUGGAAGCUGUAGCACUGAAGAGAUGCAGCCCCAUGGAAGAUGCUGCCAAGAGAGGGAGACAGAGCUACGUCUGGUGUCUCCCUUCCUCCUUACCUGGUGCCUCCCUCCUCCUGUCCUCCUGUCUCCCUUCAGAUGAAGGAACUGAUGCUGAGACUUGCACUCUACCAUAGGCGGAAGCACCCACCACCCUGUUCCCAGCCCUGGAAGGGCAAGGAAUGAAUCUGAGGCAAAUAGGGCCAGCACUGGCAGUCUGCUCGAUUUUCCCUCAGAGCAUUUAUCUUCCUUGACAUAUUUACAAUUUUUUGUCUAUUUUUGGUUUCUCUAACUUGACUAGAAUGUAAGAUCCACAAGGCUUGGGCUUUGCUCUUUUGUUCACUAUGUCCAUAGCUCCUGUAACAGUGCCUAAAACAUAGUAGGCAAUCAAUAGAUAUUCUUUGGAUAAACAAAUAUGCCUCAACAUUGAGUCUAACUUACAGCAGACAUUGAAUAAAUAUCUAUUGAAUGAAUGAGACUAACAAUUUACUACAAAAGCAGUUCUUAUGUGAAAUAUGACAGGGUUGACAUCUUAACUGAAAUCCAUCUUGAGAGAUUUUUUUUAACCCACCGAGAUUUCUGAGAACACAUUUAUUUGAAGAACCUUAUAUUUUAUGAUGCAUUUUUAUAUGUGAAUUUUUUGAAACCCUACUAUCUUAUUUCCUGAGGGGUUUUAGACUCAGCUAUUCUUCAUUUCAUUUUUAUACAUUUGUGCAGCUGAACACUUCCUACUUUAUUCUUUUUGUUUCUAAGUUCCUAAAAAUAGUUCAGAAAAUCCAAAAUUAUGAACUCGAUUCAUCCAAAAAAAUGAACAAAUCAAAUAACUUUGAAAAUAAAUGCUUUCACUAUUUAUUACUAACAAAAUUGAACAGUAUAAUCCAGAAAAAUUGAGCAAAAAUAAUUUAUAAAUCUCAAGAUUAAAACCAAAUAUGGCUUUAUGAUUGUAUUAGUCCAUUUUCACACUGCUAUAAAGAUACUACCCAAGACUGGGUAAUUUACAAACAAAGAAGGUUUAAUUGACUCACAAUUCUGCAGGGCUGGGGAGGCCUCAGGAAACUUACAAUCAUGGUGGAAUGGAAAGCAGGCACCGUCUUUACAAGGUGUCAGGAGAGAGGGAGAGCAGGGGAAACCACCACUUAUAAAACCAUAAGAUCUCGUGGGAACACACUCACUCUCAUGAGAAUAGCAUGGAGAAAGCCGCCCCCAUGAUCCAAUCACCUCCCAUCAGGUCCCUCCGUUGACAUGUGGGCAUUAUGAUUCUGAUUACAAUUGGAGAUGAGAUUUGGGUGGGGACACAGCCAAACCAUAUUGGUCAAUUAAGCGAUAAAUACUAUAAAAAUUAUAAAUAGUGGUCAAACUGAAACAUUUCUCUGUUUCAGAAACUUUUCACUUUAAGAAAGUCUUAAAUUCAUUGUUGAUUACCUUGUUCACAUUUUCUCGAUCUCUCCUAGAGAUCAAAUUAGGACUGAUUUGUAUCAAUAAAUCUGGAUUUUGAUUUCCUUUAUGACUUUGGAUAGAUUUCUGGAUGGUGAGUGAAUACAGACUUAAACUUUAAGAAAGUGCCUGCUUCCAGCUUCUGGCUGGAGGCUACACUUCCCAGCCUGUCAGAACAGCCACCCUGAAAACUGCAAUCCAUUAUGAGAAAUAAAGCUCUCUUUUUUAAAUUAAAAAGAAAAAGGAAUUAAAAUGUAGGAUUUGGUGACCAAUUUAAGUAUGUUAAAGAUAUGUUUUGGCUACUGAGCUUCCUCUGAGAUUCUUUAUACUCAAACACAAACAAAGCACUGAAUUUCAACCUGAAAAUAUGUCAUGUGUUUCAAAUAACUUGAAGAACAAAAACAACAACAAAAAUCCUGUUAUUUUCUGGGAAAAAUGAUUCAUUUCAGGUAAAACCCAUGACAUAUUUUUAGGUCACCAAAUCCCACGUUUUAAUUCCUUUUUCAUUAGGAGAGUCCACCCAUGAUAAACAAUAGGAAGGUUGUAAUGAGUUUCUGUCUUUGUCCUCAGGCAAGAAGAAAUUCAAAUACAUUCUUUCUGUGUGAAUUCAUUUCUUUUCCACCUCAGCUGUUCAAAUCUCCAAAAUGAAUAACUAUUGCCAGCACUGUCUUGUUCAUGCUUGUUUUUAAAGCUGUUUCUUUCUUUUGAGACGUAAUCGCAGGCCCUUAAGAAAACCAGAAGGGACAAGCCAAGUGUCAAUUAUGUUUGUUGUUCCAGCUAGUCUGUUUCUGUAAGUGUAUGAUAUAGGACAGAAAGAAUUGGCCCAUAUUUUUUUCCAAUUUUGAGAAACUCUGAGCUUAAUUUUUAGUUUUCCCAAUUGUUUUUACUUUAGAAUAAAUUGCUUAGUAUAUCUAAUUAUAAUAAUGAUGGCUCACAUUUACUGCGCAUUAACUACAUCAAGUACUUAUUGUAAGUGACGCAUGUGACCAGUUGCCAAUUGUUCAGGCUACAGCUUGGAUCUGUUAGCAUCCUCAUUUAACAAAUGGAGAAAUUGUAGCACAGAGAAGGAACUUUCCCCAGGUUCCAUGGUGAAUAAAUAGAGGAAGUGCUCAAUGAGCCUAACUAAUCUGGGUUGAAAGCUCAUACUCUUACCCAGCCUCCAAGCUAGCAGAUGGAAAUCAAAAUAUCUUAUUUUAAAGCUCUUUUCUAGGAGAAAAGAUACCUUGAUAAGCUGUUUUUCCAAGGAAUGGGAGGCCAUAAUGACAUGUUUAAAUGAGACAAUAAACAGGUUUACAUAACUAGUUUACAUUUAAAAAGAAAGAUAAAGAAACAGGAACUUGGGUUCCUCCCAGAGGUCAAAGAAGGGAGGGGUCAGACAGAAGAGCAGAAGGUUGGCAUCUGUGGGGAGGUCACUGUGGGGAGACGAUUUUGGAGGUGGGUUUGCCAAAGGAUAUUAAUAAGAUUUUUCCCUCUAAUUGUUUGAUGGGGAGCAUUAGAAACUCCAUAAGAUUUUGGAUUUUGGAAAUCAAGUUUAUUUAAAUCUUAAAGGAUGAGUGAUAUCACCUACUUUUUGAGUUAUAAAUCUUUAAUAUAAUUCUAAUAUUCAACAUAUAUGCUUUGAAAACUGUGUUUUUAGAUUUUCCACUGAAUUUGAAAUAGGAUUAUUUUUAUAGUUGAAUCUUGUCCUCUCCUACAGGUCAAUUUUUAAGAAUAUAUAUCCAGGAAAAAGUAACUGCCCAUAAGCAAAAAUGAGUGCAAUUUCUGGUGCUCUCCUAACUGUAAUAUCACACGUAUUUGUGCUACAGAACAAGAAUAGGGACAAGGAAAGAAAACAAACUUGACCAACAUUUGAGAAUCUACUACAUGUUAAGUAGUAAGUCAUACUACUUUUUAAAAUCCACUUUAUCGAAGUAGAGUAAACAUAUACAAUUCACUAAUUUUAUUUGCACAGCCUAUAUAUAUAUACACUAGUGUCACCACUGCAACAAUCAUGAUAUAGAACAUUUCUAUCACCCCAGAAAGUUUACUCAUGAUCCUUUGUAGUCAAUCCCUCCUCCCACUUCCCACCUUUGGCAAUCAGUGACCUGCUUUCUGUUACUAUAGUUUUGUCUCCUCUAAUUUUUCAUAUAAAUGGAAUCAUAUAUCAUGAAGUCUUUUGUAUCUGGUUUCAUUCACUUUCCAUAUUGCUUUUGGGAUUCAUCCAUAUUGUUUCAUGUGUCAGUCAUUUCUUCCUUUUUGUUGUUGAGUAUGGACAUUCCAGUUUGUCUAUUCAUCAACUGAUAGAUAUUUGGGUUGUUUCUAGAUUUUAGCUAUCAUAAAUAAAACUUUCAUGAACAUU